AUUGAACGCUGGCGGCAUGCCUUACACAUGCAAGUCGAACGGCAGCACGGGAGCAAUCCUGGUGGCGAGUGGCGAACGGGUGAGUAAUAUAUCGGAACGUGCCCAGUCGUGGGGGAUAACGUAGCGAAAGCUACGCUAAUACCGCAUACGAUCUAUGGAUGAAAGCGGGGGAUCGCAAGACCUCGCGCGAUUGGAGCGGCCGAUAUCAGAUUAGGUAGUUGGUGGGGUAAAAGCCUACCAAGCCUUCGAUCUGUAGCUGGUCUGAGAGGACGACCAGCCACACUGGAACUGAGACACGGUCCAGACUCCUACGGGAGGCAGCAGUGGGGAAUUUGGACAAUGGGCGCAAGCCUGAUCCAGCAAUGCCGCGUGCAGGAUGAAGGCCUUCGGUUGUAAACUGUCUUUGUACGGAACGAAACGGCUCUUUCUAAUAAAGGAGACUAAUGACGGUACUAGUAAGAAUAAGCACCGGACUAACUACGUGCCAGACCG
rnacentral:rRNA from 1 species